rnacentral:lncRNA from 1 species
CUCUCUGCUGCCUAGCUGUCAUGAUGUGUGUGCAAUUUUCCUUGGCUAUGCCCCUCCGCCAUGACAUUUCUCCCCUGAAGCUAGCUACUAUGGACUGAAACCUCUUAAAACUGGACUCGCAGCUAAGAGUUUGCAUUGAGUCCUAGAAGAGACUGGAUUUGGACAUUUUAGCAAUGCAGGAAUUGUUAAGACUUUGGUGACUCUUCCAAAUGGACUAAGGGCAUUUUGCAUAAUGAGAUGGAUAUGAAUCAUUUGGGGCCAGAGAUUGAAUGCCUCAGUGACUCUGUCUCUACUAUUACCACUUUUGUUUAAAACAC